rnacentral:lncRNA from 10 species
AGGCUUGCGGUAAGGAGCCUGCAGGAUGCACCUCGGUAGGUAGCGGGGAGUGGUGCCUUAGGCUCCCGGUGUGUUUCGGUCUUCAUAGUCUUGCUUCAAACAGGCAUGAGUGGGUGGAGGGGUGAGGGAUGUCUAUGGGAUACGUUAGGCGUGAUACGAUGGACGGAUAGUGUUGAAAGCGUUUCUCUCACCCCAGGGAAGUGACCAGUCUCGCUUACAUUCCCCAGCUUUUAUCUGUACUUUAGUGGCCCAACUGGACAGUUAAAUAAACAAACAUAAAAGGUAUUGUACAGAAUGUUAAAAGGCUUUUGAGUCAGUUUAUUGAAUCUAGAGCGAGUUAUCCCUUGAAGUCUCACUUUUCUCAUCUGUAAAAUAGGACUGUUGUGAGGAUUGAAUGAGAUGACAGUGUUUGUUAAGUGGUGCUUGGCACAGCAUCCCGUAUGGUCAAGAUUAUCAUUAUCUUUAUUACUGUUUGAGAACUAAAAAUUAAAUCCUAAGCCCCACAACCGACUGAACGGACCCCCUUUUGGCCAAGAGGACCCCCGAUAAACCUUAAAAGCUGAAUUCCUCGCCCUGACGGGACGGAAGGACGGACACGCCUCGCUAUACCCCCCUACCUCCUCCCUUUUCACGUCCCCCUCACCCCUGGUUUUUUGAGACAGGGUCUCACUGUGUCCCCCAGGCUGGAGUGCAGUGGCAGGAUCGUAGCUCUGCAACCUCCAACCUCUGGCUCAAACGAUCCUCCCGCUUCAGCCUCGGGAAUAGCUGGGAGUACAGGUGCACAUGCCACCAAGCUCGGCUCCCCCUCCCUUUGAGGGCUUAGACUCAACAACUGACCAGCAUUAAUGUUAAAAUGGAGAUCAGAAGGCUAACAGAAUGGACUCUGUGGCAAUAACAAAUUAUAAGCAAGACCUAAGGCCAUGCCAGGCAAGAGUUAAGUCACUCACACCUACACUUAAAGAAUAACCUUUGUUUUAACUGCUGCAAUGUUUUUAUUUUUCUCUAGCUGUUAAAUAAGAACUGCCCUCGACAUAAGCAAUAUUGAAAUAAUUGCAGCUCAUCCAUGGCCAGAUGUUGACUAACAAGACCCUCCUGUUCCACAAGUCAUAACUGCAGGUUUGAUUGGACAAGGGACCGAUUCAGUAACUUUCCCCUGAUAAAAGACCACCCACUAUGGACUGGUUCUGGCAGGUUUACAGAGACUGAGCACUAGUACAUUCAUGUCUCUGCUUCUCCUUUUGAUGUAUAGGGACUGUAAUGCAUUUAAAUGUUAAGUUUCCACUCCACAGUGAGCAUGGGAUGCAUGUCACAUGCAUGUUUAUUCAGCACCCCUCUUAGUGAAGAUUCACAGCUCUUCUUACAAUCUGUUGAAUAUGUCUGUUUAGCCAACUCAUUCAGCAUAAAGCUUCUGCUCCAACCCCACCUCCUUCAAAGUGCCUGUUGACUGUCUCUGUGGGAGCCUGGGCUUCCCAGCCUGCAGAAUGGCCAGCCUGCAGGUUGUAACUCAUUAUAAGAAACAAAGUCUCCUUUCUAAAUUUAUAGAUCUUAUGAUUUUUCAGUUGACAUGUUGUUGCCUAUCCAUUGUAGACUGAAUAAUAAUACAAGAAGGGUCAAGACUAUAAUGGAAAGCUUCUCAUGAUGAUCAUCAGUAUAAUUUAAUAACUCAAACACCAUAACUGAAAAUUUAAAAAACUCUAACUCUUUUAAUCUGUUUUUUAAACUUUCAAAAAUUAUUCAAGAUUUAAACGUGCAUUUUUGUAUCUUCCAUAGAAUUUAUGAAUUUAAAAUUACAUAUAAAUUCAAUGAAAAUAAAUAUUACUUCACUUCUCAGAGCUUCUCUCCUCAUUUCUAGAAUGAGGUUGAUAAGUGAUUUUGAAGGUUCCUUCUGCCUCAGACGUUGAAUAUUUCUGGCCCUAAAAGAAAAAUGGUAACACUAGAUUAGGACUGGCAGCAUUUGAUUGUAAAUCCUAGCCGAAGAGACCAAGUUUUGUUGAGAGUAGUGAGCAUUUCUAGCACCUGUUUCCACACUUCUAGUCAUUCUUCCGCUUUUCUCAUCCUCAGCCCUCUGAAACUGUGAGAUCACCAACACUUGGGGUCAAAGUCUAUUAACAUUUUUCAGUUCUCAUCCUGUUAUACUAGUCUGUAGUAUUUUACACUGUUGACCCCUCUCCUCUUUUUACAACCCCCUUGCCUAGGCUUCCACAUUCUUUUUGUUUUUCUUUCAUCUCUACAGCUACUCAUUGGUAUCUUUAUGGGCCCAGCAUGCUUCUGCUGCACCACUCUGCUGCCUAGCUACUGAUAGAUAUCUUUAGAACCAUUCUUAGGCCUUAUUACAUCUAGAGGGCAGUUUAGUAGGUCUAAGGUUGCUUCCACCUAGGGAAAGUGCAAAGCAUGUUAAGUGUUUUAUUCAUAUGACUUAAAUUGCUGUUACACAGUCCAAGUAAACCACAUCGAAAGGAGACUGAAACUACUUGGAUGAAUACAAUGGAAUCCUGUGGAAUGGCACCCCAAACCAAGAUGGUGGCAGAGAGCUGACAAUUGGAUUAUUUGCAUAUCCUUUGUGUGGUCAUCCUAGCAUCUCAGGAUCAGGAAAGAUGAAGAGGAGGGAGGGGAAAGGAAAAAUUUCCACUUAAAGUAGAGCUUGCCUAGGAGACAUCAACUGACUCUUGUAUUUUAACAGCACAGGCUGAAGCUGAUAAGGGUCUUUAAGCCUCAGUAACCUUAGACAGGCACCUUCCUCACUGGACCUAACUGAAGAGACUUUCCUGACUAGUGAACAAUGGGAUAUUUAUUUUAUUUAACCAAUGGUGUAGAGACCUAUAUAUUCAUUCUGCCCCAUAUCCAGAGUGCCAGUUUCCAAUGCUUAAUUAGCAUAAGCCCCAUAAGCUCCCCACUUCUAACAUUUAAAAACCCCUGACUUUCCCUCCUCAGUGAAAUUCUUCAUGGAGUAAGUUCUCUUGCUUGGCAAGUUAAUAGACUCAGCUUUGUAAUUUUUUUUUUCUAGCUCUAACGGUAUUUGUUUUACUCAUGGACAGGUGAGAAGGACAAGGGUAGAGGAGUCUUCAAACACCCCACAGCCAGCCAUCUUGGGUGAAUUACUGCAGUUUUCGAAAGGUGCCAGCAGGUUUCCUCCCGCAUAACAUUUGCAUUAUGUUGUACAUGCCACCGUCUUCAGAUGGCUAAUCCCUAUGAAAUUCAGUUAACAUGACAUUUUCUAGGAAACCUUUACAUCCUUUGCUGUGUUGGGUGCAACCUUGUCUGUCAUUCCGUUUUUGUACUCAUCACAUACUUAAUGGUAUCAACUGGUUCAGCAAUUGGACCCCUUCCUACUGUACUGAGAUUCUUGAGAGUCACUUUGAUAUGCACCCCAGACCCUCAGCAUACUGUCUAGAGCAGUAGUUUUCAAAACCUAAUGUGUAUCAGAAUCGUCUGGAGAAAUAGUUAAAACAGAAUCUCAAGCCCUACCUGCAGAGUCUCUGCUUCAGUAAGUCUGGGUGAGGCCCAAGGAUAUGUGCUUUUAACCAGUUCCCAAACAAUGUUGAUGCUAUUGGUCUGGAGAACAUACUUUGGGACUUCCUGGUCCAUAUCAUACUAGUCACUCAAAAAAUGUUCAUUAAAAGAUUUCAAGGAUUAUAAAUUACUUUUUAUUUUGAUUUGAAGCCAAAUUAAAGCAUUUUGUAAGUUAUCCAAAGUAAGGUAAAUACUCCAGGUCCUUGCUACUCAAAAUGGGGUCCUUGGGCUACUUGCACUGGCAUUACUAGGGACUCUGUUAGGAAUGGAGACUCUCUUGCCGCCUGGUGGACCUACUGACUCAGAAUCUCCAUUCUGAGAUUCUGAUCUCUCAAGAUCCUCAGCCUCACAUCAAAAUUUGAGAAGCACUGCUCAUGUGUGUGAGUGUGUGUGUGUGUGUGUGUAUGUUUAUGUGUGUUGUCAUUAUUAUUGCUUUGGAGUAGUUUUAACAGCAUCCAUAAAACUGGUUUUCACUAAUUAUUCCAUUCGUGGAUUUUCCAAGUCCUUUGUUCCCAAAUAAUAGUGGGUUUACUUUUCUUCUUGGUAAGUGCACAAAGAUUAAGCUUCAUAAAAGCUUUAACUUUAUAUUUGGUAUGUUGACUUAAUUUUAAUCAUUAUUUAGUGAUUCUUCUGUUAUGACACAAAAACACAGAAGGGUGAAAGGGUGAAAUGACUACUGAAGGAGUAAAUUAUUUCAGCAAAAAGAUAAAUAGCAGAGAAACAUGGGAAAUGAGUUAUACCUACAGAAUAGAAAUGCUUGAAUGUGGUAACAAUUCUACAGAAUUUAAUAUCUCUGUUAAGUUACAAAUUGCAAUUUCUUAGUAGCACCUGUAGACUUAAAGAUUAACUAGUAGUUUUAAUAAUAUAUUGACUUACAAGUUUUACUUUUAAAAGUAACAAAGAAAGCUAAAAAUGUUUUAAAAUAAAUAUAUUGCAAAUUGUGGUUCUAUUUUCCUUCUGACUUUUUCUUGUUUGUACUCUGCCUAAUUAGCAAUGUUUAGUAAAAUUAUAAUUAUUUCUAAUCAUAUGAAUAAUUAUAUAUUCUUGAAUUAAGAAUAUGUCUAAUAAGUAUUUGAGACUAUAUAUGAAUUUUAUAGUCUCUAAUGCCAGAUGUUCUAAAUGUGCAAGCAAAUGUUAUUCCUUUCUGAAUUAGAGUAAUUUAUUUUAAAUAAAGAAUGUUUAUAGCACAUAUGAAAUCUAGUCAUAGUUUUUAGUAGGUUAGCUUUAGGGAAAUUCUGUAAGAGAAGAAAUGCAUACAAAACCAGAAUUUAUUAUACUUAAUUUUUUUUUUUUUUGAGACAGGGUCUCACUCUGUCACCCAGGCUGGGGUGCAGUGGCGUGAUCUCUGCUCACUGCAGCCCUGACCUCCCUGGGCUCAGGUGAUCCUCCCACCUCCCACCUUAGCCUCACGAGCAGCUGGAACUACAAGUGUGUGCCACCGUGUCUGGCUAAUUUUUGUUGUUUUUUGUAGAGAUGGGGUUUCACCAUAUUGCCCAGGUUGGUCUUGAACUCCUGGGUUCAAACGAUCUGCCCACUUUGGCCUCCCAAAGUGCUAGGAUCACAGGCGUGAGCCACCGCUCCCAGCCUAUACUUCACUGUUUUAAAAAACUUUUUCAGGUUGACAGCACAGAAACAAAGCCUAAAAACAAAACAAAAGUAAUUACCUCUUUCCAACAGAAUCAUUAAUGUACAUUUGGGAAGAAUAAGCACGUGGAACAGAAAACGAAAGUAAAAGAAUAGUCACCCCUGAAGACAACCAUUCUAAUGAAA